rnacentral:rRNA from 1 species
AGUUGCAGCCAUAUCACCCUGCAGCCCAAGACUAGUUGCCCAUUGAAGCUAAGCAGGGUUGAGUCUGGUCAGUACCUGGAUGGGAGAAAAACUAGGUUGCUGCUGGAA